CUGACAUCUGAAGGACAAUCAAAUCUGAAUCAGAUCAGUUAUCUAUUUGAAUAUAAAUUUUUGAUCGACACUCUUGAAGAACAUUUUCAUAUCCUGGUCUAAUUUCAGACGAACUGUCAGUUUGUUUGUCCAAUUAAAAUACUGAACACUCAUGUUCUAACGACAGAAUUAUUGUUCUACGCUUUGCACUUCCGACAUUUUUUCCUAGAUGGUAAUUGAUGUAAAUACUGAAAGCUGAUUCUAAUAGUUGGCAAAAACGCCAUUUAUUGUUGAAAUUAUCAUUCACAACAUGAAGCUAUCAAUAUUAUUUCCAGACGCUGUGUACGUACAUCAUGUUGAAAAUUGUAGUACUCUCGUUACAGGGAUUUUUCCAAGAAACUAUGCUGUGUGUUACCAGUCUUUUCGUAAAAGAAUAACUACGUCCACGCAACAAUCAUCAGCGAUGGAGAUCGAUCCACGGUCGAAAUAAGAUCGAUCCAUCCAUACAACUGCUCUGCUCUGCAAGAAACAUCGGGCUGCUGUUCUAUAAAUAACUCAACAAUGAUCAAUCAACUGUCUCCGCUGUCCGGUCUAACUGGAUAAUGGAAGAACAGAACGAAAACUCUUACGCCUAUAUGGCAACUGUGUAAAUUUGUACCAUAUGCAAAGGUAUAGAAGGGAAUACUCUAACGCCGAAAACAUGGCAACUGUGUAAUGUGCUAAUUAUAGAUAUGAUAAACAUGUGACAUGUACACGAUUGAAAUUCGGCUCAGUUACAGCUAAAAUGCUAAUGAGCCUAAAAUAAA